ensembl:lncRNA novel transcript
GGGCGGGAGGCAGAGCCAAAACCGUAACAGCCAGAGCUAGAGACUCCGGCCUGGGGUUCUGGCUCUGUCCCGUAUCAGCUAGGAAACCCAGGGCAAGCUACUUAAACUCUCAGAGGCUCAGCUUUUUCAUGAGCAAACAGGAAAACAGGGCUAAUGAUUAGUCCUUGGCUUAAAAUACAUACCGCGUGUGAAAUUGCAGGUAUAUAAUAGAUUCACUAAAUGAGAGCACAAAUAAUGUAUGUUUUCUGAACCAUCUGAGGGCGAGUUAUCAACACUUACUCUCCAAUGCGUCAUCACCCCCAACACUCCUGUGUAUUUCCUGCAAAUAAGGAUCUUCUCCUACAUGGUCAGUCCGAACAACCUUCAGUCACAACUGAGAAGGUCACAUGGUGCAUCACUGCCGCUCAGUCUCCCCAAGCCCAGUGAUUUCUUCACAAAGCCAAAUAUGGUGAUAGAGACUCUCAUCAAGGACACUGAGUAAACCAGAAACCUGCUUGGGCUCACGUUCCUUGUCUACUCUUCCUUUUUUUUUUCUAUGUGUUGCAUAGCUUCUUCUCAGAUCCAGGAAAGGAGCUGUCCAGGACAAUGAGGAUAGGCUGAGGAAAGACAGGCCACGGCCUUGCCUCUGUGCCAGCUCUCAUGGGCCAGGCAGAGUAUCCCAGGACAACUGCCUCCACAACCAGCUCCAUCCUUCAUCAGCAAUUCAGUACCUGAUUAACAAAUCUGUACCCCAGGAGGUUAUGCCAAGUCCAACUUCUUCCAGAGACCACAACAAUAAAUCCAAGCCACUGCUAAUGUCAUUUAUAAGCUGUGGGAUUAAAACAGAGAAGCAAUCAAUUAAUUAAAAUUAGCUCUUUAUUGAAACU